ensembl:lncRNA
GCACGCUGUGCUUCCUCCUGCAACCAGUGGUCGUGGAAACCUUUGCACAACCAGAGUGCAGGGCUAAAAGCUGGGCUGCUGCAUGCACCCAACGCCUCCCAGAUAUGCACAGGGCAGCUCUGGCCCCACAGAUCCCCGUCUGGCCAUGAGCUGUGCUGUUGGGACAGAGAUGGAGCAGCAGAUUCCCUUCCUUUGCUCCCAUUUGCAGAUGGCAGCAACCUGGGAGCAUCAGAGCACUUCUGCAAGGCUCGUCCAAAAUCUGCCACCCAAAAUCUACACCCAGCUCUGCAGAGAUGCCCCAUAGGACCUGCACCAGGCCACGAAGAGCCAUGUUGGCCGUAGAACAUACAGCCUGCGGAUGGAAAGCAAAGGGAAAGUCUGUGGGAAGCAGGGGAUGAACUCUCCAGAUCCAACAUUUCCUCCUCAGCUCCAUGUGCGUUUUGAUGCCCCACGUUUUGGCUGUUGUGCGAUAUGCCCUGCAGAUCCAAGGCAUGAGCAAAGCCGUGUGCUCCUGCUUGUAGCCCAGCGGGGAACCCCACUUGCCAGCUGUGAGGCUGCUGAAGGAGUUCCAAAGCAGGGAGAACCUCCCCAAAGUGCAGCUCAGUAAGACCCCAAACGCUCAGAACUUGCAUUGUGGACCCCGUGGGGACUUUGAGUUUUGCUUAUGAACUCUUUCCCAGCGCUUUCUCUUCUUGCAAUUAUUCAGUUUUGGGGAUGGUGGGGGAAAAUUUGCAUUUCUUUGUCUGCUUUUUGUAAAAAAAAAAAUAUGCACGUAUAUAUAUAUGUAUUUAAAAUGUCUUUGCUUUUUAUAAGUGUCUCUGCGGUGAGCAAACAGGACUGAGGGCUGUCAGCUCAACGUGAGGUGUCACUGAAGAAGUUUCCAGUUGCUCUUUGCGUUGGCAGCAGGUAAACACAUUUGUGCACAGUGCCUCG